CAGCUUCUGCUAUGGGUAAUUAUAGGUAUGCUAGGAUUGGGAGUUGGAGUCAUACAGCAAACAAAUUCCACUGAACCUCCUACAGUCAUCUCGUUUCCAAGAACUGCUUUUUUUUGCUGGAAACCAUUUAGGCACUUUAACCUCUGCAUGUACUGAAGGACCUGCUGGAAGUAGACCCAGUACGGGCCUCACGAAUCCUCACUAAAGGCAGGACUUGAAGAAAAAGGCAAAGCAAAAAUGAAGGCAAAGAAAAUUAUUGUUUGAAUGCCAAAAUGCUGGAUUGUUUUUGCUCUGCAUUUGCUGCAAUACAGAGAGAGAAAAGUAAAGUGUUCUGCAAGAAAGAGACAGACAGGAAGGCAACCCCCAACACUCUUUGUUACUUCUCUUCAAAACAUUAACUGAACAUAAAGUCAGAAUUUGUCUUGAAAACCUGACAAGACCAUUUACAGUUUCCACAUUUCAGAGGAAAACAGCAGCACUUAGAAGUUGUACAGCAAGCGUGUACGUUUUCCUCGAAAGCCGUUUGUUACAGCCUUAAAUGUCAAUGCUUCCCAGCACCUCUUCAUCUCUCCUGCCCAUCUUUCAGGCUAUCAAAACCCAGGCCACAGUCUCUUGGCAGGCACACAGGCUCUGCUGAAUGAGUUAUAACUUUAAGGCACCAACUCUUAUACAGGUUUGCCGGUGGAAAACAGUCUCUCAUCCUGACUGGCACCACUGCGGAAAGAGCCAGAGGGGACUUUUCUUCCCGCAUUUUAAAUGCCAUUUGAACAAUACACGUGCAUUGUUUCACAUUUUUAUGCAGGUUCACCAAUUAAAUUACAGUUUUCCCUGGCUGCCAAAGCCGAAGUUGAUAUAGUUAUAUUGAGAUAUGGCCAGAUGCUGUGUUACAGCUGCCAAACAAGUACCUUUAGUCUACACAGUGGAUCGUUGAUAAUAAAGGACUGCACUUGUACCAGAUACGCUGUCUCCAACAUUAAUACCUGAGUAGAAGGAAAACUUUUAUUAGAACAUAGUUCUGCAAGCUAAAUCUGCUAACUCCAGAGUCUGCAGUGGUUCUGACUCCCAUCUCAGUAGGGCUGCUUUCCACAGCCUGCAACUCCAUAAUUGAAGCAAAACCAUUUCAUGAAAGUAAUAUAACACCAUGAGAAGUACUGAAAGAAUAACCUGAAGAUCUGGUUUUAAUAUGUGAUAUAUUCCACCCUGUGGAGGACUGAAACAGAAGUUCUGUGAGGGACAUGAAUGGGUAUGAAUGACCAUUUCAUUCUGUUCUCUUGUCUGUAUUCACACUUUGUGGUUCAGAUUUGGUUGCUAGUAUGCAGAGGAAAAACAAAGACAAAUAACACUUUUGAGAUAGGUCAGGCAGGCUCAUUUUGUUUAAAACUGAGAGUCAAAUUACAUUUUGAUAUACCUACACUGCUAAGGCUGAAACUAUCCAAGAAAGAACUGAGCCUGCUUUGGGACACCUGAAAAUUAAUUAAGAGGAAGACAUGAAGGACUCCACUUUUUAUUUUAUAAAAAUAUUCCCUUAAAAAAAAAAAAAAAAGCAAACCCUUACUUAUAAUGGUAAUUUUCCAGGAACUAUCCUGGAGUGAAUUUCAGAAAGUCUCCUGAAACUUCUGGUGGGCAAAUAAACAAUUGCACAUAACUGCAGCCUCAUCACAGCUACUUUUUAACCAAAAGGCUGCUUGUAUGUGGCUAAUUAGCACAUGCCUAAAACAAAGAGAGACAAAAAAAUGCCCCCAAAACUUAUUUCAGCCUUUAAUGUGCUAUAACAUUUUUUGAAAGCCAGUGAUAGAA